ACAAAUAUAGUUUAAAUUGGUAAAAUAUUAAUUUUCCAUAUUAAAGAUAUGGAUUCAAAUUCCAUUAUUUGUAUAAUGUA
rnacentral:tRNA from 1 species